AACGACUCUCGGCAACGGAUAUCUCGGCUCUCGCAUCGAUGAAGAACGUAGCGAAAUGCGAUACUUGGUGUGAAUUGCAGAAUCCCGUGAACCAUCGAGUCUUUGAGCGCACGUUGCGCCCUAGGGCAUCCGGUUGAGGGCACGGCUUCCUGGRCGUCACGGA
rnacentral:rRNA from 1 species